rnacentral:lncRNA from 1 species
UUGAGCUAGUUCAAGUGGUGAAACACUUUAAUGUUGUAGUUUUAAACAUCAAGAAUAUCUACUAUAAUAAAUUUUAUUCCUCAUUUUAUGAAAGCCAUAUAAUAUUGGCCCUCUAAUAUUGUAUAUUUCUGAAAAAAAAUUAUUGGAUUCUUGGAUACUGCAAUGCAAUUUUUUCUAUUUGCAACUAGAAGAAUGAGGAAGAAAGGCGAAUCAGAGAUUAUUCUCUCCAUCUAAAUCAUCAGGGGUCAGCUGUAUUUGAUUGAGGUUAAUUCUUAGAAUAUGGUUGCUUGCUCCAGGGAACAUAUUGUGUUAUGGAAAUUGCAUCUCUGCGUGGUACAUAUAUCUAACUGACAGAUUUGUUGAUCAGGAAGGGUCACGUCUCAGAGCUGACUAUGAGGCCACUUGGGAUAGGAAUGAUCUCCGGGAUACAUUGCAAAGGACUGGAAGAAAUCAGAAUCCAGAAAGAAGUCGCAUGCAACUAACAGCCACAAGACACUAUGAUGAUGAAGCUCCAAGGUUCCAGCCACACAUUGCACGUUUUGGCUCUAAUGAUGUGCACCCAAAGAGGUUUAAGGUAAAUUUCUAUUGCAUAUGCAUCUUUCGUGUAUUAUGUAUAUAUAUUGAGGUUUGUCCCGUAGGGCAAUAGGAUAUGAAUUCGUUUGAGAGUUUGAAAUUCAUUGACAUAAAUAAUCUGAGAUAGUUGUGUUGAUCUCAUGCAGGAAUAGAGAGGCUGGAACGAUCUUCAAAGAAUCGUAUCAGGGUCCACACUAAGAUAUUUGCAGGUGGUUCACUGGAAAAAAGUCUUGACCGGGUUGUACCCAAUGGGUGGUAUGAGACAGUCUGCUCAACAAUCUGUAUUUCCCUGGAUCUGUCAACUCACUAAAUCAGAUAUGCUUCCAGUUUUGUUCAGUAUACAGACACAUUCUUCUUUUCUAGUUAUUUGUAUCAGGAAUGUAAUAGACACGUGUAGCUUUGCUUAUCAAGGAAGAGAAAGGGUAUCAUACUUGUUUAGCAGGUGAUGCAUAUGGAGAAAAAUAUUCGGGGCUGGACAAUUGUGUUACUUUGUUGACAUCCAAUGUAAACAUUUAUGGUUUUGUAUCGAUAACAAUCAGGGCUUACAAGUUAUAUCAUGUACUAUGCUGUCAAGGGCGGAGCGGAGCGCCAGGCGCUCAGAUUUCUGGGAACCGCCUCCACCGCUCAAGCGGCGCUGAGGCGGCGCUCUGAUCUGACCACAGAGUUUAUACUUUACACUACUCUUCUCUAACAGUAUUUCUUUCCCAUAAAGAAGAAAAAUAUUAAAUUUAAAGAAGAAAGAAAGAUUAAAUUUAGAUUUUAUUUAGGAAGAAUGAAGAUUAGAAGAAGAUUAGAGAAGAAGUAGCAGCAGGAGCAAAACCAGAGAAGAAGAAGUGGCAGCAGCAGCAAAACCAGAGAGGCAGAGAAGAAGAAGUGGCAGCAGCAGCAAAACCAGAGAGGAAGAGAGAGAAUGUGAGAUUUUUUAUUUUUUUUUUAACUUAGGUUUUGGGCUUUUUUAUUUGGGCCUCCUUGAGCAGUUUGUAUGGACCGCUCCGAACAGAGCGCUGGACCUGAGCGCCGUCCAGGCGGCCCCAAGCGUUUUAGGCGCUAAUUUUGCUGAGCGGAGCGACUUUCUCUAGAAAUAGCGCCUAGGCGCCGCCCCUGACAGCAUAGAUCAUGUAUCAAGUCCACUUUGAGUGAGUAUGUGUUUUUUUUUCAUUUAUUCGUUUUUCAUUCAGGGCAUUCCCAAACUUUUCAAUUCUAGUUCAUAAAAUGGUGACACUACGUGAAGGAGGGGAAACAAAAAUCAAAUCAAGUAAACCCUAGAAAAAAAAUCAAAUCAAGUAGGGGUGGGCAAAAAAAACUGAAAAACUGAAUCGAAAAAACCGAGUCAAAACCGAGUUGACCAGAAAUCGGUCAAGACCGAACCGAACCAUAUAGAUAUUGGUCCGGUCUCCGGUCUCGGUUUCUAUUUUUAUAAAACCGAGGGAACCGAACCGAACCGAAUUACAUGGAUAUUGGGCUUUUCUUCUAUUUAGUACUAAAUUUGGUUUGAUUUGGUCCAUGUCUUAUUUUGUUUAAAGCACAAAACUUAAGAACAAUCUUUAAUAUUUUAGUGGACUAAAUGCCCAAUAACAAAAGCCCAGAACCGAGUUUCGAACCGAAACCGGACCGACUAUAUUUGGUCCGGCUCGGUUCGGUUAUAUUCAAAUAUUUUCGGUCCAUGAACCGAAACCGAACCGAAAAUUUAAAAUCGGUUUGGUCCCGGUCCUAUUACUUUUUGGGACCGGACCGGACCGUGCCCACCCCUAAAAUCAAGUAAACCCUAGUACCCUACUAGAUAAACUCCUGGUAUCGGCACUGCCUUCUUGGUAUGGUAGACACAACUUGAUAAUCUUCACCUGCACCGGCUUCUUGGUAUGGUAGACACACUUUGAUAAUCUUCACCUGCACCGGCGAUGCUUUUAGGAGAUAUGAGGCUUCCAAUGUGAAGAACAAUUUGUGAUAUGUUUGUAGGAUACUGAAUUCCAUCAAUAAAAAUUUGUUUAAAUUCAUGAUUUUCAAAGUCAUAGUAGCCUUGAUACUUGCCACUAUUAAGUAAGACGCACCCAUUAUUCAUUGAACCACAACUUUUAAGAGGAAGUUUAGGUAGUGGCCCAAGCUUUUCUUUUCUGAUAACAUUGUUCUCUAGUCCAUGAACUUGCUACCCCAUAAUCCAUAUUGUUUCAUAAUCCAUAUGACUAUAUGAUCACCAAAUUCAUCAGUUAGACAAAGACAUUGACGUUAGGGAACUAAAAAUUCUAGUGUUAAUCAUACUAUCAUCUAGAUGCGGUUGUCCAAAUGUUGUGAAUUUUUCAUCUCCAAUAUCUAUGGCACCUACACAAUUUCUGAAUUCAGGGUUUUCAGUAUCUCGCAUUUCCAAGUGUAACGCGCCAUUUAGAUACACUUGGGAUAUUGACUUGUCAUUACAUACAAGAUUAAUAUUACCUUGCUCUAUCCUUCUCCAGUUCUCCAUACUCCAGAGCCAACAGUAUAUAUCUCAAUUCCAGUUCGAAGCCAAGAAGUGCUCUUGGGAUAGACGAGGUGAAAAGUACGAGCGACCUUGAAUGAUUUAGUUGGUUCAUGAAAAGCAAAUCCAACUGAAGUAAAUAAUGGUAAUUUAAGGUGGUUGUUAGUUUUGCAAGCAGGUGUUUUGGGAGCUUCAGCAUCUCUCGUGUAACAGGAUUACAGAUAUAGAUUAUGUUACAUUUGGAUAAUGAACACAGACAUAGAAAGCCAUUAGAAGAACCCACUAUUUCGACUACUUGUCUGUGGCUGUCAAGGUAUAUAUUGAUGGCCUUCAACGAGGUUUGAUGACCAGGUAAACUUUUAUUGUUAUCUACCAAAUAAAAUGUUGGGUUUUAUGUGUAAUAUGGGCCUGUUUGGGCCCAAAUUCGUGGUCUAUUGUAAGGCUAUACUAUAAAGCCAAAUAGAAGUGAUACAAAACCUUAAUUUUUCUAAGAGAGAGAUUGUGAGAAGCCAUUAGAGAGUUUGAGAGAACUUUUGUGAGGAAGAAGACUUCGGUUUCUUCGUGAGGGCUUGUACAAUUGUCUAGAUAAGAAAAAUAUCAUCCUUUCUCCCCGUGGACGUAGGCAUAUUGUCGAACCACGUAUAUCUUGUGUCUUGUGUGUGGUUGCUUGUUUAUUUUGUCUUUUUCGUUUUACUUUCAUACAUUAGUUCAAUCAUAUUAUUUGUGCAUUAGUUUCCGCUGCGCACAACAUAAAAGACUUCAUGAAAGGGGGUGGUACUGCGAACUAGAAGAAGAUCGGUUGAUUCCUGGUUUUGAAUAAUGCGAGAAUGGUGUAAGUUAAUGAAAACAGGAUCCUUAAUAAGUUUAUACCAAUAUUUAGAAACAAACCUGCAUUGAGAGAGGGUUUGGAUGGGCAAUCUAGAAAAGAUAUCGUGCCAGAUUUCAAUACAAAUCUAUCUUUUAAUUCAAUACAAAAGGAUUUGUGUAUCCUUUAAUUAAAAGAUAUAUUUAUAUUGAUUUUCUUUCUUGUGUCUAUAAAUAUUGAUUAUCAAUGUAGACAAGUAACAAGCAAGGGUCGUACCCACCUCAAAGGUAGAAUUCUUAGCUCAAAGACAAUAGAAAACAAUAGUUAAAGAACACCAAGUGAAUCAAUAAAUAAGAUGGAAAUUGAUUCUACUUCUACUUGCAAUAAAUAAAUAAAUUAAUACUUAAACUAACUUAAGAAGAUGGAUAGUGAUGUAGAGAAGAUCUUAUGAUGAAUAGGGGGAAGAGUUGGUAUCCACAAACUAAACAAUGCAAACAUACAUGCCAUUCAGUCAUGUUCAAUCUAUAACAAUCAAUUAGUCACCUCUCAGCUAUUCCAAUUAAUCAUUAAUGUCUAUAAUAAUCAAGUAGUCACCUCUCAGCUAUUCCACUCAAUUAAAACAGGAUUCUCUUAUACAUGCAAUUGAAUAUGCUUCAUCAAUUAAACCGUCACCUCUUAGCUAUUCAAUUUAAUUAACUCAACAUAUUAAUUCAUAAUCAAACCGUCACCUCUCUGUUAUUCAAUUUAAUUACAAAAUGGGUCCAAUAAAAGAAAUUGAUUCUAGAUAUAUAAUAGUCACCUCUCAGCUAUUCCAUCACAUAUAUCUCUAAUCAAUCUAAUACAACUAUUAUAGCUAGGUCUCCCUAUACUCUAACAAUAGUAUUUUAUAAACAUGGAUAUCAAUAACAUAUGAAUAAUCAUGCUUACUUCAUGUCGCGAAAUAAAAAUAAACAAGCAUUAAGCACUUUGAAUCACAAUGAACAUUAAGAACAAACAUGGUGCCUUUGCAUUAUCUAGGGUGCUUCAACCAUUCCCCCUAAAGGGAAUUUAGCUACUCAUCCUUGAUAAAGACACUAUGGAAUAAGUAAAUAAAUAACAUAACAUCAUAAGGAAAAAUGAAUGAAUUAUUAUUGAGAAUAAGAAGAAGAAUAAGAGUCAAAAAUACAAUUUCAAGACUUUGAGUUCAAGAGAAAACGAACUAAACUAAACCCUAGCUACUACUUCUCUUUAUAUAUAGAAUACAAAACAUAUUACUUGCUCACAAAGUCUACUUCUUUCCAAGUUAGGUCAAAUUUGUGGUUGCUGCUGUAGGCUUUCUAGAAGCAUCAAGGUCUUAUCAAAACCUAAUUCUCUUGGGCUUAAGUUGUAACCUGGACCAAGACCUUUAGAUAGACAGCUCAUGGGCCCAAACUAGACUUUUGGAUCUUCAUAUAGAGCCUUUUUAAGAUUGGGCUUCAAUAAAGACUUCAAUAGAUUUUCUGACUUGUGGGCUUCAUUAUAACUUGGAAUGGGCUGGAAUUUGGACCACCCAUCUUGGACAUAAGUCAAAUCCAUAGGACCAGUCCACGGGGUGCUCUCAGCAACUCUACGGGUGCAAAUAUCAAUUAUUCAUCCUUGUGCAAAUAACAUCGUUUUAGUGGCUUUUCUUGGCUUUUGGCGAGCUUUAACACAAUAUUCACAUUUUGGCUCAUGAAACCUACACAAAUGAUAAGAAAACACUAAUCAAUAGAUAUAACACAAUAAUAUAAGCUAAGUGCUAUGCAAACAAGGUGCUAUUCAGGGGAUAAAUAUACACUGUUGUCUAUUGGCUCGCAAUGCGCAGGAUCAUAGCUUAUAUUAAGUGAGAUCUAUACGAUCAUAUCUUAUGUUUGUUUCUAGAAAUAAUGUAUGUAGGAAUUCUACUCCCAUAAGUACUUGGUAUGGUAUUCUAAUUGGCAAUUGGUAUUGUUAUCCAAUUUGGAUCCUUGUAUAGCCGGAUUAGGAACUCUUGGGUAUUAUAUAUACUCAACUAAUUGGCUAUUGUAAAAAUGUAGUAAGAAGAGAGAGUGAACCAAAGGUGAAAAUAUUACUAGAUAGGGAGAGACAAAUUUAUGAGGGUUUUCAUAAUAGGGUUUCUCAAGUUCUAGUGUGAGAGAGAAAGAUACAAGAAAUUAUAGAUUUGUAAUUAGGUUGUUUCUUUUCUCUGAUUAGUGAAAUUUUCUUGAUCGAUUGUCGGGUGGAGUAGGCGGGUUUGCCAAACCACGUUAAUAUUGGUGUUAUUGUGUGUGAUUGUGUUUUUUCGAUUACUUUCUCUGUUAUUUGCUAUUAUCUAGAUUAUCAGUAUUACAACCAAUCCUUGGGUUAAAGCUUCCGUUGCACAACAGUUGUAAUCUAUUCAAAAUGGGCUUUUGCCAAUGUUCUCGCUUUGUUCUCCAAUAACUAAAUAUAGACUGAAAAACACUAUAACUCAUCGAUUCCACAUGUCGAAGCUCAUACGCAUCAUCCAACUGCAAAAGCACAGGUAUACGUGAACAAAGUGUAGGUGUAAUAACACCAGCUCUUUCUCUAGUCUUAUGAUUCAGGAAACAAAGUAUUAACAUUAAGGCCUUGCUUGGUUAUCCCGCAAAAAUUUGCAUGAAAUUUAGCCUAAUUUAAUAUUCUCGAAACUCUUGACAAUUGGGUUUAUGAACAAAUUUUAUGCAAAAAUUUGGUGCUAUUUUAAAAGUGCAAAGAUUUCACACAUUUUUCUAAUAAACUUAGUAGGGAACCAUCUAUGAUUAUCUCAUACUUACUAAAGGUUUGGGUGGGGGACCAAGCUAGAUUAGUUGGGGGACCAUUCAAAUUAAAGAGUAAAUUUGUGAGGGACCACUCUAAUCAUAGAUGGGUAAAGAUUUGCCUUUUUUGCAGCCCAAACAAGCAGGGCCUAAGUUGGAAAAGUUAAUGUGCCAUGGAAAUUGCAUCUAUGCAUGGUGCAUAUAUCUAGGCCUGUAAAAUAGGCCGGGUAGGGCUAGCCCGGCCCUUGAACCCUCGAGCCCUCACACUUUAAGGGUCGGGCCAACCCUACCCUAAAAGAUGAUGAGGGUCGGGUUAGGGCGGGCCAACACAAAAAUUGUAAAAACCUCACCUGACCCUUAGCCCUUUAUUUUAAAGGGUCGAGGGCCGGGCUAACGGGCCCGAUUGAUAGGGUCGAUACAUAGAAUUAUGUUUUACUUGAAAAAAAAUAUGCGAUCAUGUUUUUAUUAAUAUCAUUUUAAUAUUUUUGAAAAUACGUAUAAUAAAUAUACAAAUAUAUUUUUUUUACCAUAAAAUUUAUUAUAGUAUAUGAUAUUAUUUUAUCCAAGAGCAUUACAAUUAAUAAAUACAAAGAACUCGUAGUUAGAUGUUAUCUUAUUACUAAAAUUUCAAACUUUAGAAAUUUAGUCCUAAAUUUAUAAAAUUCUAGCAUGAUAAGUAUAAAAUACACAUUUAAAAUAAUAAUCUAAUUACCAUUUAUUGCAUACUCAAUAAUGAAAUAUAUGGUUAAUAAAAAAAUAUUCUAUUGAGAAUCAAUUUCUUUUAGUUAUAUAAUAGUUUUUUAACAACUAGUUCGGGAAAUAUUCGAUAAACAUUUGAUAAAUAUCAUAUAACUUAAACAAAAAUGAUAUCUAUGUCUAAUUGGAAAAAUCUUUACGAUUAAAACUCUAAAAAAAUAUUCAAAUUUUGAUAUAUAGAGAAAUAUAUUAAAAAUUAUACAUAUAUUUAUGAGGACCGUAAGAGGGCUUUGAGAGGGUUAAUUAAGGUUGGGCUAAGGGUAGGGUCUAAGAUUUCCAAAGCUAAACCCUAACCCGACCCUUAAAAGGAGAGGGUCGGGCCGGCCCUACCUUAAAAAUCAUAAAGGUCAAGCUUUAAGGGCCUUUUUUGUUGAAUGGGCCAGGCGGGCCGGGCCGAGUUUGGGUCAAAGGGCCAUUUUUACAUGCCUACUUAUAUCUAACUGACAGAUUUGUUGAUCAGGAAGGGUCGCGUCUCAGAGCUAACUACGAGGCCACUUGGGAUAGGUUUGACCUCCGGGAUACAUUGCAAAGGACUGC